rnacentral:rRNA from 1 species
GAUAAACGCUAGCGGCAGGCUUAACACAUGCAAGUCGAGGGGCAGCAUAGAUUGUAGCAAUACAAUUGGUGGCGACCGGCGCACGGGUGCGUAACGCGUAUGCAACCUACCCGUCACAGGGGGAUAAUCCGGAGAAACCUGGUCUAAUACCCCAUAACAUAUGGAUCGGCAUCGGUUCAGGUUGAAAUUUGCGGAGGUGACGGAUGGGCAUGCGUAGCAUUAGCUUGUUGGUGAGGUAACGGCUCACCAAGGCGACGAUGCUUAGGGGGACUGAGAGGUUUUCCCCCCACACUGGUACUGAGACACGGACCAGACUCCUACGGGAGGCAGCAGUGAGGAAUAUUGGUCAAUGGGCGCAAGCCUGAACCAGCCAUGCCGCGUGCAGGAUGACGGCUCUAUGAGUUGUAAACUGCUUUUGUACGAGGGUAAAGUGGGUUACGUGUAACCUUUUGAAAGUAUCGUACGAAUAAGGAUCGGCUAACUCCGUGCCAGCCGCCGCCGUAA